rnacentral:lncRNA from 1 species
UCCGCCUUGAUCUGGUCGAUCUUGAACGCGUGGGAGGGGAGGCCGAUGCGGUAGAUGUACCGUGCCGGGGCCUUCUUGUCGUCGCCCUCGGAGUCCUUGUCGCCCUCCCCCUUGAUCACCAGGUUGUUCUUCUCCGCCCGCAUCUUCACGUGCUCCUUCGCCAGCCCCGGCAUCGCCACCUUCAGCUGCACCGCGUCGGCAUCCUCCUUGGAGAUCCACCACCCGCCCGGGGAGAAGCCGGUCAAGGGCGCCGCGCCGCCGCCGUCCUCCGCCAGCGCCAGCAGCAGGUCCCGCAUCGCAGCCUCCGGGAACAGGUCCAGCCCGCCUGCAGAAAACCUCAAAUCAUCAGUACUCUCUCUCCCCCUCUUUCGCUUCGCUAGCCAUGGUUCGAGAAAGUAACGGUGAGGGAAAACGGGGAUGGAGGAGUCGCGCUCACGGGUGCGGUCGGCGGCGGCGGCGUCCUCGCCGGUGGAUUCCUUGACGCCGUCGGAGGAGGAGCGUGGCGGCGCCUCUCCGUUGCUGAAGAGGUGGCGGUCGGAGGCGACGGUGUUCCCGGAGGCGGACGGUGAGGCGAGGAUGUCCAUGAGGAAGACGGGCUUCGGUACGGCCACCUGGGAAGCGACGGCGGAAGCCAUGGAUGGAUCCCUCUCUCUCUAGUCUCUGCCUCUUCUCUGCGAUUGGGGUUUUGGUUUUGGACUGUUGCGGUGCGCUGCGAGAGAAAUGCCUUGACAGCGACGGAAGUGUGUGUGGGGGUUUAAAUGCUGGGGGCUUUUCUUGGGGGAGGGGAUGGGCAAGGGGCCAGAAGGUUCCACAUGGCGCAUCGGGCGCCAUCGACGGUCCCAGUUGGCCCGGGCUCCUGCUUUGCGAUUCGUGCUGUCCACUGUGACCAAGUACCUGUUCCGGUGGGCUUUGCACUUUCGGGUCAGCGAGAUGAAGGGAAUGUGUGAGUGGGCUGGGGCUGAGAGUUCCAGUUGAUGAGGGAGGAGGGGGGGGUGGGGGGGGGGGGGGGUAUGCCAUUUUAUUGUUUGAUUUUGAUAGGGUAUGGGAACCUGUUGCAAACGUGGUGGAACUGGAGUUUAGAUUCAAAUUACUAACAGAUAAAUGAAAUAUGAAUGUUGGCUUUUGAUUUUAAAUGCUUAGUGCAUAAAUACAAUAUUCGGUGGACAAAAAUUAGAAUAGUGAAACAGGAUAAUAGAUGUUUAGAACUUGUUCACGGAAAUCAAUCCAUUUACACCAAGGUAACUGGUUACGAGAAGCAAUGAAGCAAUGCAAGUUGAUACAAAGUUUGUUUUGUUACCAUUUUAAGCUCUCAUGGCUAUAAAAGGCCAUGAACCCCUGCUCACUUCUACUGUUUGAAUGAUUGUUAUAGGAUCGCCAAUUAAUUCCGGGCUCAACUCGUCAACCUCUUGAUCAGUGGUGGAUCUAUGAUUUCAAUCAUGAGGGUACAUACAAAAAUGAUAUAGUUCAUCAACAUCAGCAUGACAUAAUUAGAUCACUAAACUUUGAUAAAAUAGUAACGGGUGUAGAGUGUUGGGUUGUUGUAUGGGUUGAGUAAACAAGCAAUUGUAUUUAACAAUGUAUAUAUGUACAAGAUACGAAAUUGUAUAUAUACUUGGUGUUUCUCCAGAAUUUUUGGGGCAUGCACCUGCUGUAGAUCCGCCCCUGUUGUUGAUACACCAGACUGCAUUAUUGAGGAGAAGAUUAAGGAAUCUGGUUUAGGCCUCGUUCAUUUACAGUCGUUCCGGCCAAUGGCCUAUACAAAUUACAAUAGCGUUCCUGUCUGAAGUAUUUCCGAGGCUUCAUUCCCCUUCAAACGAACAGCCCCUUAGGAAGGAAAAGGAUUUCUAGAGAAAAAAACGAUAGUUCAAGCAAAGUUGAAUAGAGGGAUGAAAAACAGAAUAAUCAACAUAGGAACAUUACUUGCUUUAUCUUAAAAAAGGAACAUUACUUGCAGGGAAGAAGCAGGGUGCUCUUCUUUUUUAAAAAAAGUGGGAAGUUUUUUUUUAAAAUAUAAGCACAGUACAGAGAUUGUGCGGAAUAUCCCCGGCCCCAAUUGAAAUUUUGCAAAGCAGUCUAGUGCACUGUGGAUGGUGUACUAAAGACUCACAAAAGUAAAGGCAAGAGUCUAGAGUCGAAGCCUGUCUUGCCAACUUUGCUAGUCUAUCAGGGUGCUCUUGGAAGGCUGGUGCAAGAUCAAUAUUACACAUACUGUCAGACAAGACUUGGUAACAGAGGCGGAGUCGUUGGUUAACAUUUAGCCUGUUUCGAAUUUCACUCUGCAGCCCCCUAUGACUUAUUUUUUGUAUUUGAAGAGGCGCAAUUACAUAGCACAGCUAAUACAUAGUGUUCAAAUGGUGCUAGAGGCCUCUUUCGCCCCCAAACGCCCAAAUUCAAAUUUUGAACACAGGACCUACAGAGAGAAAAAGGUGUCUAGAAAAAAUUCCAUACCUGUCUUCAUGAACCGUUUGGAGAUAUGAAAAAAAAGUAGCAGUUAUAAACUAACAAGGGCCAUGGAGUUGCUUAGUAAAUUGGUUGGAAAAACAAUCAGAAACUAGAAUAUCUUUGGUAGGAAUCGAAGUUAUAUAAACUAAUAAGAAGUGGAGUAACUGUGGACCUAUGGUACUGGUAGGAACAGAAGUGCUGAAGGGGGUUUGCGCAUUACACUCAGACACACAUUUUAAUUUUCACAAGAAAUGGUAAGCAACUGUAACAGGUUUAAAAAUUACACACCCUGAAUUCUAUUUGGGGGUGUUUUGUUCAGCUACUAUGGUGAGAGCCAUAAUACUGUCGAAUUAGUAGAAGUCGAGACCACAAUGGCAAGUGGCUCUCAGUCAUCAACUCUUGGAUGUACUAGCUGCCAGGAAAAGCUUCUCUCGAAUUAGUAGAAUAAGCUUUUUAAUCGAAGUGCAGAUAACCCUGCAAACAAAAUGUUUCAUAUUUUAAGAUGGCUGCCGCUAUUUAUUUACAAUUCAGGAGAAAAUUUCAGCACUACUAUAUUCAUACAAUGACCAUCUUAAAAAACAUACAGCACAAUAGAAAAUUUAGUUGAAUUGCAGCACCUUCGAAUGUAACCAAAAUAAAUAAACACAACUUCAUACAUCAUGCGGAAAUGCAACAGUCGACAAGAGUACAAGAACAGACACCAGAAAUAUGAAAUACAUCUCGAUCAACGAUCAACACUUCAUAAAAAAAACUUGGGUAUUUCACUAGUAGUACCCCAAGUUCAGAAACCAGAUUAUCAGUCAUCAAGUUCAGAAAUGACGUCUCACAAAGAUCAUCAGUUCAGAUCGCCAACAAUAAAGACAAAAAAACAGUAGAGUAAUACAGAAGAACAGGAUCACAGGGAAGCUCAUACAGAUGUCUAUCUUUAACUGCAGAUUCCAUUACCAUUUGAAGUUCAUCACGCGAGAUCAUCAGUGAUCAUCGCCAUACAUGAAACUAAACUUUGCAAGACGAACAGAAAGGUAAACACGGCUGCCUCACAUCAGGAACGAGACGCUAAAAAGCCAAAGCCCUCCCGUUCUGCUGCUCUGCAUCAGAAACGACUACUACUCUAGUAUACUGCAACUACGAUAUGGACUGCAACUACGAUAUGGACUGCAACCAGGAGACCUACUCGACCUUGAUCUCGAACACGUCCUUGCGCUCCCCGUCCUUGAUCUUGGGCACGGUCACCAUGAGCACGCCGUUCUUCAUCUCCGCCUUGAUCUGGUCCACCUUGAAAGCGUGGGAGGGGAGGUCGAUGCGGCAGAUGUACCCUGCCGGGUCCUUCUUGUCGUCGCCCUCGGAGUCCUUGUCGCCCUCCCCCUUGAUCACCAGGGUGUCCUUCUCCACUCGCAUCUUCACGUGCUCCUUCCCCAGCCCCGGCAUCGCCACCUUCAGCUGCACCGCGUCGGCAUCAUCCUUGGAGACCCACGACGACCCGCGCGGGGAGAAGCCGGUC